rnacentral:rRNA from 1 species
CGCGUAGGUGGUUUGGUCAGUCAGAUGUGAAAGCCCUGGGCUUAACCUGGGAAUUGCAUUUGAUACUGCCAGACUAGAGUAUGGUAGAGGGAAGUGGAAUUCCGGGUGUAGCGGUGAAAUGCGUAGAUAUCCGGAGGAACAUCAGUGGCGAAGGCGGCUUCCUGGACCAAUACUGACACUGAGGUGCGAAAGCGUGGGUAGCAAACGA